GGAGGGCGCGAGCGUUGUUCGGAAUUACUGGGCGUAAAGCGCACGUAGGCGGCAUUGCAAGUCGUAGGUGAAAGCCCUCGGCUCAACCGAGGAAUUGCCUUCGAAACUGCGCUGCUUGAGUCCGGGAGGGGGGAGCGGAAUUCCCAGUGUAGCGGUGAAAUGCGUAGAUACUGGGAGGAACACCGGUGGCGAAGGCGGCGCUCUGGAACGUUUCUGACGCUGAGACGCGAAAGCGUGGGGAGCAAACAGGAUUAGAUACCCUGGUAGUCCACGCCGUAAACGUUGGGUGCUAGGUGUCGCGGGUAUUGACCCCUGCGGUGCCGCCGCUAACGCAUUAAGCACCCCGCCUGGGGAGUACGGUCGCAAGGCUA
rnacentral:rRNA from 1 species